AUGAAAGCCUGGUGUUCAGAGUCACGGGUCAACUCAAUUCUGUUUACCAAACUCCCAGAGACUUUCAGAAAUCACUUUACUGGAGUUUCAAUGAAUCACAGCAGAUUCAACAUUUGGAGGAGAAAAAUAAGAGAACUCAUGGAAAAUCACCAGUGAGUAAAGAAAAGUGCAGCAGGACAAGAAUAAAUGAAAAUGGAAUAAACAGCAUGUUAAAGAAGCCUCACUGCUCUCUUUUAUUUUUAGCCCCUGUUCCUUCAAUAAUUAUCCAUCACGUGCCUAACAUGUGACAGGUCCUGUUCUGCACAGUGAACAAAAUACACACGCAAAUGUCUGCCCCUGUGAAACCUAUGUUCUAGUGGACUU